AUUGAACGCUGGCGGCAUGCCUUACACAUGCAAGUCGAACGGUAACAGGUCUUCGGAUGCUGACGAGUGGCGAACGGGUGAGUAAUACAUCGGAACGUGCCUAGUAGUGGGGGAUAACUACUCGAAAGAGUGGCUAAUACCGCAUGAGAUCUACGGAUGAAAGCAGGGGAUCGCAAGACCUUGUGCUACUAGAGCGGCCGAUGGCAGAUUAGGUAGUUGGUGGGAUAAAAGCUUACCAAGCCGACGAUCUGCAGCUGGUCUGAGGGGACGAUCAGCCACACUGGGACUGGGACACGGCCCAGACUCCUACGGGAGGCAGCAGUGGGGAAUUUUGGACAAUGGGCGCAAGCCUGAUCCAGCAAUGCCGCGUGCAGGAUGAAGGCCUUCGGGUUGUAAACUGCUUUUGUACGGAACGAAAAGCCCUGGGUUAAUACCCUGGGGUCAUGACGGUACCGUAAGAAUAAGCACCGGCUAACUACGUGCCAGCCGCCGCCGUAAAAC
rnacentral:rRNA from 1 species